CUCCAGCACCAUGGCCUGGGCCACCGCCUCGCGGCUCUUACCCACCACGCGCCCAAACACUCUUGGAACCACCUGGGAGGGGACACGGGGACGGUGCUGCAGCCUCCUGUGUGCCCGCUCGGCCUUCAAAGCUCAGCGGAAGGCUAGGUGCUGCUACGAAGAUAUCCUCAUCUUCCACAUCAUCACGGUCACCCCAGCAACAAAGACUGAUGUCGCUCUUGCUCCUUCAAGGCCCUGCCAGCCACACUGCCUUCAGCUACAGACUUCUUACGCUCACGCGCUCUGCUUCUGUCCUUUCGGUUUUUGUCAUUAUUAUUUUUCGACAGUACCACGGUUCCAUUCCUUCAAAGCUGUAUUCUCUUUCUGGGGUGACUCCCCUCCCCAAUUCUUCUCCUUGGCUAUGCUCCAGGGUCAGGUUAAAUGCUCUUCCUGCAGAGAAGUGUUUCACACACACACACACACACACACACACACACACACACACCCAUCAGGUCCCCCACUUACACAUUUUCACAGUACCUGCAACUUUGCUUUCCAGGCACUUACCAUAAUCUCGUUUAUUAUUUUUUUUUUUUAGUUCCUCAUUUUUUCUAAUGUUCUGUUUAUUUUUGAGAGAGAGCACGCAAGUCGGGGAGGGACAGAGAGAGGGGAGUAGAAGAUCAGGAGCAGGCUCUGUGCUGACAGUGGCAAAGCCUGAUGGGGGGGCUCGAACUGGCACACUGUGAGAUCGUGACCUGAGCUGAUGUCGGACGCUUGACCAACCGAGCCACCCGGGUGCCAAACCAUAGUUUCAAAUCACACGGUCACAGGGACGUGUUUGUGUUCCCGCUGGAGGACCAGAAAGGGCAGAAAUCUGGGGUUUCGUUAAUUGUUUCUUCCCCAGAACCUAACACAUUGCCUGGUACACAGCAGGCACUCAAAUGUUUGUUGGGGAAAUUAACAUUUAGGAGGUUUGGGACAUCGUCUCCCGUGCUUGCCUUGGUGCAAGGAGGGCCCGUGGCUCUGGCAAGGAGCCACGAGGUUGUUUUGUGGCACCUCCUCUAACGGCUGGUUUGGUUUCUUUUUUCCCUUUUUACAGGUGAGGUCUCUGCCAUGGAGGUUAUAGCGCUCCUCCCUCAACAGUCACAUGGUGACAGCAUGAGGAAAUGUCACCCUGCGAAGCUGAGUCAAUAGGCUCGUGAAGAAACAAAUCAGACCAGCAUUCUCCUCAGCAGCCCUCCCCUCCCAGAGGGCCGGAGUUGUGGUGCUAACAAUUUGGUGCACUGAGGGGCUUCUGGAAUCCUGUCAGGAGACCACAGCCUCUCACUGUAACCCAGAUAAGGCAAACGCAUCCUCAAAGGGCUGGGCUGGCCUGAGCAAUGGCCAUUACCUUCCCGUCUGAGCCUAUGGUGUGGGAAAGGGUGGGCUUCCCGAGCCUGUUUUCCUGUCUAACAAACAAUAAAUAGCACUUAUUAUGUACCAGA